rnacentral:rRNA from 1 species
AAACAUGAGAGUUUGAUCCUGGCUCAGGAUGAACGCUGGCGGCGUGCCUAACACAUGCAAGUCGAACGAAGCACUUAAGUGAAUUUCUUCGGAUUGAAGCUUAUU